rnacentral:tRNA from 1 species
GCUGGAAUAGCUCAGUCGGUAGAGCACUUCACUCGUAAUGAAGGGGUCGUGGGUUCAAGUCCCAUUUUCAGCU